rnacentral:ncRNA from 1 species
UUGGUCCUGGCCUUUUUAUUAGUUGUUAGCAAAAUUAUACAUGCAAGACUCAUCAUUCCAGUGAGAAUGCCCACUAAGACCCAGAGGAGCGGGUAUCAACUCAUCACACCUUGCUAAGCCACACCCCCACGGGAUACAGCAGUAAUUAAAAUUAAGCAAUAAACGAAAGUUUGACUAAGUUAUGCAAGGGUUGGUAAAUUUCGUGCCAGCCACCGCGGUCAUACGAUUAACCCUAACUAAUAAACCUCGGCGUAAAGAGUGUUAAAAUUAUGAAAUAAGAUUAAAUUUUAUCUAAGUCGUAAAAAACAACAGAUAUAAACGAAAGCAAUCUUAAUAAAUCUGAAUACACUAAAGCUAAGACCCAAACUGGGAUUAGAUACCCCACUAUGCUUAGCCGUAAACAUAGAAAUAACAAGAAUUUUCGCCAGAGUACUACUAGCAACAGCUUAAAACUCAAAGGACUUGGCGGUGCUUUAAACCCACCUAGAGGAGCCUGUUCUAUAAUCGAUAAACCCCGAUAUACCUUACCACUUCUUGCUAAUUCAGUCUAUAUACCGCCAUCUCCAGCAAACCCCAAAAGUAAGCACAACUACGUAAAGACGUUAGGUCAAGGUGUAACUAAUGAAGUGGAAAGUAAUGGGCUACAUUUUCUUAAGAAAAUUAUAUACANAAUCUUUAUGAAAUUAAAAGAUUUAAGGAGGAUUUAGUAGUAAAUUAAGAAUAGAGAGCUUAAUUGAAUUAGGCAAUAAAGCACGCACACACCGCCCGUCACCCUCCUCAAGUAGAGGAGAUAAGUCGUAACAAGGUAAGCAUACUGGAAAGUGUGCUUGGA